rnacentral:lncRNA from 1 species
UUGUAAACCUAAGGAUUAACUCUAAUCCCAGUGUGGCACACAACCUCAACUAUUGCGACACCUUCAAGUUAACUCUAAUUUGAAUACUCAAAGUACCUAAUAUAAUUGCUUCUAUAAAAGUUGGAAAGGUAUAAUUUUAAACCACCAAGUACAAUUGAACUAGACUAAGAACAAAAAAAAUGAAACUAGUUUUUCUAUCUCGUUUAAGUAGCUGCAGGAGUGCACACUUUAAUCUCACAUAAAUUGCUUGCAAAAUUACCUUGCUUUUUUCCUCUCAAUUUAGUUUAACUUCUGCGUAUGUGCAUACCUACAAAAGAGAACAAACUUCGUUACUUAUUAAGUUAGUAAUAAGAGUUUGAUUGAGACUUAAUUUCCUAACGAAGCUACAACAACUCUCGAAAUUUCAUUCCGACCCUCGUAUCAAAAUCUCACCUAUCAACCGGAAUUCGCCAAAAUACUAACUUUGUCAAUUCAAGCCUAAUUUUACACCGAACAUCCAAAAUCACUUCCGGUCACACUUCUAGGUCACAAAUCAUCCUCGAAAGAUAACAGAAUCAUCGGAAUCCAUAUUCGAGCCUCCUAACACAUAAGUCAACGUCCAGUUGACUUUUCCAAAACAAGCCUUCCUUAAAUAGACUAAGUGUCUCAUUUCCUUCUAAAAUCAAUUCACUCGUUCACACAAGACUUUUAUAAUGAAGCAUAAAGAAGCAUAAAAUAGGGAAAACGGGGCGGUAACUCACGUGACGACGAGUCGAGUCGUCACAGAACCGUACCUGUAGCUACGAUAGUUUUUAUGAUAGCGCGCCUAAAACAAACUAUGAAGGUUCAUAAAUAUAACGGCCUAAGCAUGAUCCUACUGACUAAAAGUUGAAAUAAAGUAAAUAAACAAAAUAAACAUAACUGUAAUUUUACUUCGUAUGCAAACAACAACGAUAAUCCGAUUUCCAUUCAAUUUCAAUUAAUAAGAUUUUUUUGUCUUCCAACAGAAGAAAUCAAACUAAUUUUAUACCAUUAUAUUUAACCAAGUAAUUACAUCAAUGCACCAGGAACAAACACCGAGUAACUGAGAACUGCACACCGAAACUCGAACAUAUACUAGCUGUAAUAUUAACUCUAGAUUCUAAAAGUAAUUCAUGAAAUUAGACCUAGUAUUAACUUAAGGAAUAAAGCCAGUUCAAUUCUAUUCAAGUGCUUCCAAUUAUACUAGUAAUAUUUUAUACCUUAAAAACAAUUGAUUGAAUUUCUCUUUUCUUAAGAGCUUAUAUCUAUUUUCAACAUAUUGAUCUAAGCAAGUACUAACCAAUGAAUAUUGCACUAAAUUGGUGAAUGAACUAGCUCAAACAAACGAUGAAAUUUUGAUUAAGGGCGUACAUCCGUCUUAAAAUAUCACAAACGGGCCAAAAUUCACACAACUUUUUUGUUCAACCAUCAUAUAAGACACAAUCAACAAAUAAAGGUUAAAAUAGUGACGGACCUCAAAUCGAAGUAAUUUUGAAUCUGGAAAUGCUUAGCGCCAGAGAACUUGGACAGCGACAACCUCGACAGAAAAUGAGCUUCAACUCUCAAAAAUCUCCAUAUUUCAGAAGCUAUAUUUUAAGAAAAAGAGAAAUACCUUUUUUGUACUUUUCCGAUUCUUCAAGAUGAAAGCAGGCUAAGCAGAGAACUGAAAAUCCUUUUUUUAUUGGUUUUCAAAAAUAAAGAACCCAGCUGAAAAUCUGAAAAUCCAAUCAAAUCUCUAUCCCAAAAUCGCAUGUCCUUUCUUCCCUCUCCUUUCACUUCUUUGUUUCUUUUCUUUGCAGGUGGUGGCUCUAGAAUGGUAGAGGAGUGGCUGCUCGAUCUUUUGGUUCAGAAAAAAGAGAUGAUCCAGGGUUCUCUUGGAGAUUUUUGUGGUUGAGCUCCAAGUGAGUAACUGUUGUUCUCUUGUUUCCGGCAACAAGAGAGACACACAGAGAGAGCUUUUGAGGGAGGUGGAGGUCGGCUGUUGUGUUAGACCGUUCCCAGAUGUUCGGUGGUCGAUUUGGCUCAAGGUUGGAGGAAAAUUCUCUGGUGUGUUAUCACCGGAUUUCGGCAGUAAGGAGAUGGGGAGUGCCGCGGCUAUGCCAGGAUAUGGUUAAGGCCUCGAAAGUUUUUCGGCCGCUGAUCUUGUUCUCUAAGGUCCGUAGGGCAUUUUGUUCUUUUGGG